rnacentral:rRNA from 1 species
GAUGAACGCUGGCGGUAUGCCUAACACAUGCAAGUCGUACGAGAGUUUUUAAUUCUAGUGGCGGACGGGUGAGUAACACGUGAGAAUUUACCUUUAGGAGGGGGAUAACAAUUGGAAACGAAUGCUAAUACCCCAUAUGCUUUUGAGUGAAAUGGAUUUAUAAUUAUCCGCCUAAAGAAAAGCUCGCGGCUGAUUAGCUUGUUGGUAAGGUAAGAGCUUACCAAGGCGACGAUCAGUAUCUGGUUUGAGAGGACGAUCAGACACACUGGAACUGAGACACGGUCCAGACUCCUACGGGAGGCAGCAGUGGGGAAUUUUCCGCAAUGGGCGAAAGCCUGACGGAGCAAUACCGCGUGAGGGAAGACUGCCUAUGGGUUGUAAACCUCUUUUUUCUAGGGAGGAAUAAAAUGACGUGUACCUGAAGAAUAAGCAUCGGCUAACUCCGUG